rnacentral:rRNA from 1 species
CCUACGGGAGGCAGCAGUGAGGAAUAUUGGUCAAUGGCCGAGAGGCUGAACCAGCCAAGUCGCGUGAGGGAAGACGGCCCUACGGGUUGUAAACCUCUUUUGUAGGGGAGUAAAGAUAGUCACGUGUGACUAAUUGAGAGUACCCGAAGAAAAAGCAUCGGCUAACUCCGUGCCAGCAGCCGCGGUAAUACGGAGGAUGCGAGCGUUAUCCGGAUUUAUUGGGUUUAAAGGGUGCGCAGGCGGAGGUGCAAGUCAGCGGUCAAAUUGCGGGGCUCAACCCCGUACUGCCGUUGAAACUGCAACCCUUGAGUGUGCGAGAAGUAUGCGGAAUGCGUGGUGUAGCGGUGAAAUGCAUAGAUAUCACGCAGAACUCCGAUUGCGAAGGCAGCAUACUGGGGCACAACUGACGCUCAUGCACGAAAGCGUGGGUAUCGAACAGGAUUAGAUACCCUAGUAGUC